rnacentral:rRNA from 1 species
GUCGAACGGCAGCAUGAUCUAGCUUGCUAGAUUGAUGGCGAGUGGCGAACGGGUGAGUAAUACAUCGGAACGUGCCCUGUAGUGGGGGAUAACUAGUCGAAAGAUUAGCUAAUACCGCAUACGACCUGAGGGUGAAAGUGGGGGACCGCAAGGCCUCAUGCUAUAGGAGCGGCCGAUGUCUGAUUAGCUAGUUGGUGAGGUAAAGGCUCACCAAGGCGACGAUCAGUAGCUGGUCUGAGAGGACGAUCAGCCACACUGGGACUGAGACACGGCCCAGACUCCUACGGGAGGCAGCAGUGGGGAAUUUUGGACAAUGGGCGAAAGCCUGAUCCAGCAAUGCCGCGUGUGUGAAGAAGGCCUUCGGGUUGUAAAGCUCUUUUGUCCGGAAAGAAAUGGCUCUGGUUAAUACCUGGGGUCGAUGACGGUACCGGAAGAAUAAGGACCGGCUAACUACGUGCCAGCAGCCGCGGUAAUACGUAGGGUCCAAGCGUUAAUCGGAAUUACUGGGCGUAAAGCGUGCGCAGGCGGUUGUGCAAGACCGAUGUGAAAUCCCCGAGCUUAACUUGGGAAUUGCAUUGGUGACUGCACGGCUAGAGUGUGUCAGAGGGGGGUAGAAUUCCACGUGUAGCAGUGAAAUGCGUAGAGAUGUGGAGGAAUACCGAUGGCGAAGGCAGCCCCCUGGGAUAACACUGACGCUCAUGCACGAAAGCGUGGGGAGCAAACAGGAUUAGAUACCC